rnacentral:rRNA from 1 species
UACGUAGGGUGCAAGCGUUGUUCGGAAUCAUUGGGCGUAAAGCGCGUGUAGGCUGCUAUCUAAGUCGGGUGUGAAAUCCCUGGGCUCAACCGAGGAAGUGCAUUCGAAACUGGAUAGCUAGAGAGUGGUAGAGGAAGGUGGAAUUCCAAGUGUAGAGGUGAAAUGCGCAGAUAUCGGGAAGAACACCCGUGGCGAAGGCGGCUCUCUGGGACGGUACUGACGCUGAGACGCGAAAGCGUGGGGAGCGAACAGG